GUAGGGUGCGAGCGUUGUCCGGAAUUAUUGGGCGUAAAGAGCUCGUAGGCGGUCUGUCGCGUCGGAUGUGAAAACACGGGGCUCAACCCCGUGCCUGCAUUCGAUACGGGCAGACUAGAGUUCGGUAGGGGAGACUGGAAUUCCUGGUGUAGCGGUGAAAUGCGCAGAUAUCAGGAGGAACACCGGUGGCGAAGGCGGGUCUCUGGGCCGAUACUGACGCUGAGGAGCGAAAGCGUGGGGAGCGAACAGGAUUAGAUACCCUGGUAGUCCACGCCGUAAACGUUGGGCGCUAGGUGUGGGGGACUUUCCACGUCCUCUGUGCCGCAGCUAACGCAUUAAGCGCCCCGCCUGGGGAGUACGGCCGCAAGGCUA
rnacentral:rRNA from 1 species